rnacentral:rRNA from 1 species
UACGUAGGGGGCAAGCGUUAUCCGGAUUUACUGGGUGUAAAGGGGGCGCAGACGGCAGCGCAAGCCAGGAGUGAAAGCCCGGGGCCCAGCCCCGGGACUGCUCUUGGAACUGCGCGGCUGGAGUGCAGGAGGGGCAGGCGGAAUUCCUGGUGUAGCGGUGAAAUGCGUAGAUAUCAGGAGGAACACCGGUGGCGAAGGCGGCUUACUGGACCAUGACUGACGUUGAGGCUCGAAAGCGUGGGGAGCGAACAGG